UGAAAUGAUGAUCGCACUGGGCUCUGAGCAGUUUGAUUAAAGACUGCUAAUUUGAUGCACAUUGCAGCCUAGAAAGCUAGUCUGAUCU